GUAAAAAUGGGAAAAGGGCCCGAAAAAUGGGAAAAUGGCCCCAAAAAAUGGGAAAAUGGCCCCAAAAAAUGGGAAAAUGGCCCCAAAAAUGGGAAAAUGGCCCCAAAAAAUGGGAAAAUGGCCCCAAAAAAAUGGGAAAAUGGCCCCAAAAAAUGGGAAAAUGGCCCCAAAAAGUGAGGCCGGGAGGGGUCGGGAUGGGGCUGGGAUGGACGGAGGGGUGGACGGAUGGACAGAUGGACACUGGAUGGACAGAUGGACACUGGAUGGACAGAUGGACACUGGAUGGACACUGGAUGGACAGAUGGACACUGGAUGGACAGACGGACACUGGGACGGACAGACGGACGCUGGGAUGGACAGAUGGACACUGGAUGGACACUGGACGGACAGAUGGACACAGGGAUGGAUACUGGGAUGGACAGAUGGACACUGGGAUGGACAGAUGGACACUGGGAUGGAUACUGGGAUGGACAGAUGGACACUGGGAUGGACAGAUGGACACUGGGACGGACAGAUGGACGCUGGACGGACAGACGGACGCUGGGAUGGAUGGAUGGACACUGGACGGACACUGGACGGACAGACGGACGCUGGGAUGGACACAGGGACGGACAGACAGACACUGGACGGACAGACGGACAUUGGGAUGGAUGGAUGGACACUGGGUGGAUACUGGGAUGGACGGAUGGACCCUGGACGGACAGACGGACGCUGGGAUGGACAGAUGGACACUGGAUGGACACUGGGAUGGACAGAUGGACACUGGGAUGGACACUGGGAUGGACAGAUGGACACUGGGACGGACAGACGGACACAGGGAUGGACAGAUGGACACUGGGAUGGACACUGGGAUGGACAGAUGGACACUGGACGGACACUGGGAUGGACACUGGACGGACAGAUGGACACUGGGAUGGACAGACGGACACUGGGAUGGACAGAUGGAUACUGGGAUGGAUGGAUGGACACUGGGAUGGACACUGGGAUGGACAGAUGGACACUGGGUGGACAGAUGGACACUGGGACGGACAGACGGACACUGGGAUGGACACUGGGAUGGACAGAUGGACAGAUGGACACUGGGUGGACACUGGAUGGACACUGGGUGGACAGAUGGACAGAUGGACACUGGGUGGACACUGGAUGGACACUGGGAUGGACAGACGGACACUGGGACGGACAGACGGACACUGGGUGGACACAGGGACGGACAGACGGACACUGGGACGGACAGACGGACACUGGGAUGGACCCUGGACGGACAGACGGACGCUGGGAUGGACACAGGGACGGACAGACGGACGCGGGGUCCCCGGCGCGUGGGGGGCGGGGCCGUGGGCGGGGGGCGGGGCCUCGGUUUUGCC
rnacentral:lncRNA from 1 species